rnacentral:rRNA from 1 species
CUGUGCAAAAUCGUAAGAUGACGUAUACGGUGUGACGCCUGCCCGGUGCCGGAAGGUUAAUUGAUGGGGUUAGACUUCGGUCGAAGCUCUUGAUCGAAGCCCCGGUAAACGGCGGCCGUAACUAUAACGGUCCUAAGGUAGCGAAAUUCCUUGUCGGGUAAGUUCCGACCUGCACGAAUGGCGUAAUGAUGGCCACGCUGUCUCCACCCGAGACUCAGUGAAAUUGAAAUCGCUGUGAAGAUGCAGUGUACCCGCGGCUAGACGGAAAGACCCCGUGAACCUUUACUACAGCUUGGCACUGAACAUUGACCCUACAUGUGUAGGAUAGGUGGGAGGCUUUGAAGCACGUACGCCAGUAUGUGUGGAGCCGUCCUUGAAAUACCACCCUUGUAGUGUUGAUGUUCUAACGUCGACCCCUUAUCGGGGUUGCGGACAGUGCCUGGUGGGUAGUUUGACUGGGGCGGUCUCCUCCCAAAGAGUAACGGAGGAGCACGAAGGUGGGCUAAUCACGGUUGGACAUCGUGAGGUUAGUGCAAUGGCAUAAGCCCGCUUGACUGCGAGAAUGACAAUUCGAGCAGGUGCGAAAGCAGGUCAUAGUGAUCCGGUGGUUCUGAAUGGAAGGGCCAUCGCUCAACGGAUAAAAGGUACUCCGGGGAUAACAGGCUGAUACCGCCCAAGAGUUCAUAUCGACGGCGGUGUUUGGCACCUCGAUGUCGGCUCAUCACAUCCUGGGGCUGAAGUCGGUCCCAAGGGUAUGGCUGUUCGCCAUUUAAAGUGGUACGCGAGCUGGGUUUAGAACGUCGUGAGACAGUUCGGUCCCUAUCUGCCGUGGGCGUUGGAAGAUUGAAGGGGGCUGCUCCUAGUACGAGAGGACCGGAGUGGACGAACCUCUGGUGUUCGGGUUGUGUCGCCAGACGCAUUGCCCGGUAGCUAAGUUCGGAAUCGAUAACCGCUGAAAGCAUCUAAGCGGGAAGCGAGCCCUGAGAUGAGUCUUCCCUGAUACUUUAAGUAUCCUAAAGGGUUGUCGGAGACUACGACGUUGAUAGGUCAGGUGUGUAAGUGCUGUGAGGCAUUGAGCUAACUGAUACUAAUUGCCCGUGAGGCUUAACCAUACAACACCCAAGGGGUUU